CCUACGGGAGGCAGCAGUGGGGAAUAUUGGGCAAUGGACGCAAGUCUGACCCAGCAACGCCGCGUGAAGGAAGAAGGCUUUAGGGUUGUAAACUUCGUUUAAGGGGGAAGAGCAGAAGACGGUACCCCUUGAAUAAGCCACGGCUAACUACGUGCCAGCAGCCGCGGUAAUACGUAGGUGGCAAGCAUUAACCGGAGUUACUGGGUGUAAAGGGAGCGUAGACGGCGAUGGAAGCCUGAAGUGAAAGGCGGCGGCCCAACCCCCGGACUGCCUUGGAAACUGUGUGGCUAGAGUGCAGGGGAGGUAGGCGGAAUUCAUGGUGUAGCGGUGAAAUGCAUAGAUAUCA
rnacentral:rRNA from 1 species